rnacentral:lncRNA from 1 species
GUAACUGUAAGAGCACGAAUAGAUGGACCAGUAGAGAACCCACGAGGAGGCUUUGGCAGCGUUCUUAUGCACUCUGCUAAGCUGGGCUCGACAUUCGGCUCAUUCAAACGAGCCCUAAUGUUUAGUAAAUCUAACUUCUGUGUCCGGACAGGUCCAUCUAUAUUUCUUGAAUAUCAACUUUUCUUGCUUAUUAAUUAGUUACACUUAGCACUUGGCUGUAGCUGAAAUGGCUUCGGCAAUGACUUCUCCAGUAAAGUAGCUUUUUUAACUUGUCUGUUUUAAACAGCUUCUCCUAAUUGUUUAAAAUAGAUAAAAUGUACCCAUAAUACCCUUAUCUUUUUUUCUUUUCUCUUUUCCCCCUCUUUUCUUCCUAUUUCUUUUCUUUCUUCCUAUUUUCUUCCUAUUUCUUUUCUUUCUUCCUAUUUCUCUUUCCUUCCUCCUUUUACCUCACACGUUCUCUUUCUUCCUCCUUAUCCAUUCCCGUCC